rnacentral:rRNA from 1 species
GACGAACGCUGGCGGCGUGCUUAACACAUGCAAGUCGAACGGAAAGGCCCUGCUUUUGUGGGGUGCUCGAGUGGCGAACGGGUGAGUAACACGUGAGUAACCUGCCCUUGACUUUGGGAUAACUUCAGGAAACUGGGGCUAAUACCGGAUAGGAGCUCCUGCUGCAUGGUGGGGGUUGGAAAGUUUCGGCGGUUGGGGAUGGACUCGCGGCUUAUCAGCUUGUUGGUGGGGUAGUGGCUUACCAAGGGUUCGACGGAUAGCCGGCCUGAGAGGGUGACCGGCCACAUUAGGACUGAGGUAGGGACCAGACUCCUACGGGAGGCAGCAGUGGGGAAUAUGGCACAGUGGGCGGAAGCCUGAUGCAGCAACGUCGCGUGCGGGAUGACGGCCUUCGGGGUGUAAACCGCUGUCGCCUGUGACGAAGCGUGAGUGACGGUAAUGGGUAAAGAAGCACCGGCUAACUACGUG